UANGGAAUCUUCCGCAAUGGACGCAAGUCUGACGGAGCAACGCCGCGUGAGUGAAGAAGGUUUUCGGAUCGUAAAACUCUGUUGUUAGAGAAGAACAAGUGCUAGAGUAACUGUUAGCGCCUUGACGGUAUCUAACCAGAAAGCCACGGCUAACUACGUGCCAGCAGCCGCGGUAAUACGUAGGUGGCAAGCGUUGUCCGGAUUUAUUGGGCGUAAAGCGAGCGCAGGCGGUUCCUUAAGUCUGAUGUGAAAGCCCCCGGCUCAACCGGGGAGGGUCAUUGGAAACUGGGGAACUUGAGUGCAGAAGAGGAGAGUGGAAUUCCAUGUGUAGCGGUGAAAUGCGUAGAUAUAUGGAGGAACACCAGUGGCGAAGGCGACUCUCUGGUCUGUAACUGACGCUGAGGCUCGAAAGCGUGGGUAGCAAACAGGAUUAGAUACCCUGGUAGUCCACGCCGUAAACGAUGAGUGCUAAGUGUUGGAGGGUUUCCGCCCUUCAGUGCUGCAGUUAACGCAUUAAGCACUCCGCCUGGGGAGUACGACCGCAAGGUUG
rnacentral:rRNA from 1 species